rnacentral:ncRNA from 1 species
ACAAUGGCGUAGAUAAGGACGAGUAGCGCAUCGCAACCUGCAAAGAGAGCCGCCGUGACGGUGAAAGGCGGAGAGGAACGGCGCGUGAAAAUCACCUUGGAGCCUCCUGCUGAAAGACGACGCGAGUAAGCGUGGACGUGUGACGGGCGUUAUUCCGUCGGCCUGUGCAGCAGGCUGUGAGCGGCCGCAUCCCGCAAGGGUACGGCAACCGAGAGUGGUACCGCAGAGUGUUAAAAACGCUUUGUCUCUUGC